AGCGAACGUUUGCGGCGGGCUUAACACAUGCAAGUCGAACGAGAAUCCCUUCGGGGAGGAAAGUGGCGCACGGGUGCGUAACACGUGGAUAACCAACCCAUUGGUUUGGGACAACACCGGGAAACUGGUGCUAAUACCAGAUGUGUCGCAGCUGUCUUCAGGCGGUUGCGAGAAAGGCCCGCAAGGGUCGCCAACGGACGGGUCCGCGUCCCAUCAGCUAGUUGGUGAGGUAAUGGCUCACCAAGGCAAAGACGGGUAGCUGGUCUGAGAGGAUGAUCAGCCACACUGGAACUGAGACACGGUCCAGACUCCUACGGGAGGCAGCAGUGGGGAAUAUUGCGCAAUGGGCGAAAGCCUGACGCAGCCACGCCGCGUGAGCGAUGAAGGUCUUCGGAUCGUAAAGCUCUGUGGGGGGAGAAGAAGAAAGCCGGUGAAGAGCCGGCCCUGACGGUAUCCCCUUAGCAAGCACCGGCUAACUCCGUGCCAGCAGCCGCGG
rnacentral:rRNA from 1 species